GACCGUUGGCGGCGUGCCUAUACAUGCAAGUCGAACGCUUUGUGGUUCAACUGAUUUGAAGAGCUUGCUCAGAUAUGACGAUGGACAUUGCAAAGAGUGGCGAACGGGUGAGUAACACGUGGGAAACCUACCUCUUAGCAGGGGAUAACAUUUGGAAACAGAUGCUAAUACCGUAUAACAAUGACAACCGCAUGGUUGUUAUUUAAAAGAUGGUUCUGCUAUCACUAAGAGAUGGUCCCGCGGUGCAUUAGCUAGUUGGUAAGGUAAUGGCUUACCAAGGCGAUGAUGCAUAGCCGAGUUGAGAGACUGAUCGGCCACAAUGGGACUGAGACACGGCCCAUACUCCUACGGGAGGCAGCAGUAGGGAAUCUUCCACAAUGGGCGAAAGCCUGAUGGAGCAACGCCGCGUGUGUGAUGAAGGGUUUCGGCUCGUAAAACACUGUUGUAAGAGAAGAAUGACAUUGAGAGUAACUGUUCAAUGUGUGACGGUAUCUUACCAGAAAGGAACGGCUAAAUACGUGCCAGCAGCCGCGGUAAUACGUAUGUUCCAAGCGUUAUCCGGAUUUAUUGGGCGUAAAGCGAGCGCAGACGGUUAUUUAAGUCUGAAGUGAAAGCCCUCAGCUCAACUGAGGAAUUGCUUUGGAAACUGGAUGACUUGAGUGCAGUAGAGGAAAGUGGAACUCCAUGUGUAGCGGUGAAAUGCGUAGAUAUAUGGAAGAACACCAGUGGCGAAGGCGGCUUUCUGGACUGUAACUGACGUUGAGGCUCGAAAGUGUGGGUAGCAAACAGGAUUAGAUACCCUGGUAGUCCACACCGUAAACGAUGAGUGCUAGGUGUUUGAGGGUUUCCGCCCUUAAGUGCCGCAGCUAACGCAUUAAGCACUCCGCCUGGGGAGUACGACCGCAAGGUUGAAACUCAAAGGAAUUGACGGGGACCCGCACAAGCGGUGGAGCAUGUGGUUUAAUUCGAAGCAACGCGAAGAACCUUACCAGGUCUUGACAUCCCUUGACAACUCCAGAGAUGGAGCGUUCCCUUCGGGGACAAGGUGACAGGUGGUGCAUGGUUGUCGUCAGCUCGUGUCGUGAGAUGUUGGGUUAAGUCCCGCAACGAGCGCAACCCUUAUUACUAGUUGCCAGCAUUCAGUUGGGCACUCUAGUGAGACUGCCGGUGACAAACCGGAGGAAGGUGGGGAUGACGUCAAAUCAUCAUGCCCCUUAUGACCUGGGCUACACACGUGCUACAAUGGCGUAUACAACGAGUUGCCAACCCGCGAGGGUGAGCUAAUCUCUUAAAGUACGUCUCAGUUCGGAUUGUAGGCUGCAACUCGCCUACAUGAAGUCGGAAUCGCUAGUAAUCGCGGAUCAGCACGCCGCGGUGAAUACGUUCCCGGGUCUUGUACACACCGCCCGUCACACCAUGAGAGUUUGUAACACCCAAAGCCGGUGGGGUAACCUUCGGGAGCCAGCCGUCUAAGGUGACAAGAAGGUG
rnacentral:rRNA from 1 species